rnacentral:sRNA from 1 species
AUGAGGAGGAAGGCAGAUGCAUUCUGACGACAUGCCAUAGAACCGCAGGUGAGGGGCACUACAUUAU